GCCAGAGAGCAGGAGAAAAAUAGCAGGUGGGUGAGACUUGUAUCCAGGCCUGCUGAGCUGAGGGUGUAGGAAGAAUCCAUCACGCGAGGCGGCUAGGCUCCCGCAGGAUUCACAGCGUCAGGUAUAGUGGAACGGAGGGAAAGACAAGGCAGUUCAUCUAGAAAGCUCGGCAGAUACAAAUCUCGGAAUGAAGAGCCAUGCUACUACCAUUAGAGUGGAACAAAGUCAGGAUUCGGGUUGUCGGGACUGGACUAUGGUUAACCUACUAGUAGAUUUUAUCCGACUCAUGUUUACUUGGUUAAUUUAGAAAACGUAAGCUCUAUUAGAGCAGGUUCCUUUUUUUUUUUUUUUUUUUUUUUUUUCUCAUUUUCUCAGUCAUUCCAGUGCCUUGGAGAGGCCCAGGUGCACAUUUGUAGAGGAAUUUAAAUGGUCUGCUGGGAAUUGCCAUUAGAAAUUCUUGGAAAGAGCUGGGGAGAUGGUAUAGCUGGCAAAGUACUCAGCACAUAAGAACCCAGUUCCCAUCCCUCAAGAAAAAAAAAAAAAAAAAAGCCAGGCACGGAGAUGCUCACUUUAAAUCCCCAAACUGGAGAGUCAGAGUCAGGAGGAUUCCCAGGAGUCACUGAUCCGCCAGUGGAGCAGAAUCAGCAAGCCCCAAACCACCAAGAGAGGCUCUACCUCACAAAACAAGAUGGAUGGCUCCUGAGUUAAGGAGGUGGCAAUAUCAACUCUAGAGACGAGGCAAGAGAAGUUUGGCUUCCUACAAAGAACUCUAACUCCUAUUCUCAGCUCCUCUAAUAUUAUGAAGCAGAAAGCCACUGUGGCACGGGCUGCUUUCCCCCAGCACACAGAAAAGCACAUGAUUCUUUGUCCUACUUCAACACUGACUCAGAACAGGCUUGGAAAUGAGACACAGAACCCUGACACUCUCCUCCUGUUCUAAGUCAUGAUUGUCAACAACAAACCUGUAUUUAUCUAAAUAAAAUGAAGAUGUGUGCUUAAGGAUUCCUGGGGAAUAAUCAUUUCUAUUUCAUAUGAAAUGGAGGUCCUCUUGCCCUCUCUUGGUUUCAAGAGGGCAGAGUGCAUAUACUGCUGUUGAUGAACAUGUUUAACCAUUAUAUAUUCUUUGAUCAUCUCACCCAGGGAUCCAUCAUAUCCACUUCAAGCCCUCCCCUCUCUUCCUUUUACAAUUCAUAAACAAAAUGUACUAUGGCAUUUUAGGGAUUAGGAUCCUGAGUUGGAAUAAAUCCUGCCGAGCAUUCUUAAAUUACCUCACUUAGCUGGGCUUGGGCCCCGCGAUAUUCUUGAACCAAGUGCUCAAGUUGAUUGUUAAUGUACUUUUCUCGGCUGCCAAUCUUUUCCAGAGUCCUGCUAAUUUCAUUAUGGAGCUUGUCCAAAAACCCCUAGAAAACCAUGGGAUUUUAGAAGAUAAAAUGAGUAAGUUUUUCAAGACUGGUAUAAAUAAGUUAAAUACCCUUCAACCCAAUUCACAAAUGUGUGCAAAUGAAGACAGUUUGAAAUUUCAACAACAAACUCUAUGAUGAGAAACACUUUAGUCACACCAUAACCUCUGUAAAAGAAGCCAGAUGUGACGGUUCAGUCCUGUAAUCCAAGGACCGUGGAGGCUGAAGCAAGGAAACUACCCACGGGUUACUCACGGACCCUGUCUUCAGAAAAGGGAGCUCAGUAGUGUGAGCGACCUCUUGUUCCCAUGCAUACCUGAACACCUAAGGUUUAUGACAUUGCAAUAAGUUGUAUACAAACUUCAAAAUCAAAGUUGCUGAGGACUAAUAUGACUAUCUAGAGCUGGGACCCACAACUUUGCAUUCAGCUUGCUUCUCUAUGGCAUUCUCUAAAGAUCCCACUUCUACCAUGGCAACAGUGCUCUGGGAGCUGCAAGUCCUAGCCAUUGUCAGCCUGGAGUUCAUACAAUGUUGGUAAUCAAGAGAAAUAUUGAUAUGUAUCUAAAACAUCUAUUAGAUAUAUGUGUGUAAUGUGAUAGCCAUGUAUGUAUUUAAAAUACAAAUGAAUUGUAGGCAUAUACUACCACAUCUGACUAUAAGUAGCUUCUAUUUAACUAGCUUGCUUUACUUGGUGCAAGCACUGGGAUGUGAAGAUGUACCAUGGAAUAUUCCAUUAACCAUAUUCU
rnacentral:lncRNA from 1 species